rnacentral:rRNA from 1 species
AUUGAACGCUGGCGGCAUGCCUUACACAUGCAAGUCGAACGGCAGCACGGGUGCUUGCACCUGGUGGCGAGUGGCGAACGGGUGAGUAAUACAUCGGAACGUACCUUAUCGUGGGGGAUAACGCAGCGAAAGCUGGGCUAAUACCUCAUACACACUGCGGGGGAAAGCGGGGGAUCGCAAGGCCUAGCGAGAGUAGAGCGGCCGAUGCCUGAUUAGCUUGUCGUGGGGGUAAAAGCCCACCAAGGCGACGAUCAGUAGCAGGUCUGAGAGGACGAUCAGCCACACUGGGACUGAGACACGGCCCAGACUCCUACGGGAGGCAGCAGUGGGGAAUUUUGGACAAUGGGGGCAACCCUCAUCCAGCAAUGCCGCGUGAGUGAAGAAGGCCUUCGGGUUGUAAAGCUCUUUUGUCAGGGAAGAAACACCGGCUCUAACACAGUCCGGGAAUGACGGUACCUGAAGAAUAAGCACCGGCUAACUACGUGCCAGCAGCCGCCGCCG